GAACACUGAGCUUUGCUCACUUGCAAAGCAAACAGCACUCCGGUAUUUAUUCACUGGUUUAUAGCGAGCUUCUCUUUAUUUCACGUCAAACAAGCACUCCAAAGCCUCCUGGGUGAGAACAAGCCAGGCUGCACUAACGCCCAAACACGCGUGGGCGGACCCGCGUCCCCGCUUGGAGAUAGAAGGGCAUCGGAACAGCGUGGAGCAGAGGAAACCUGUCUCUCGCCUGUUACCUGCCUGCCUGCCCUAGAGAGCCAAACCUGAAGAUCUCACUCUGGAAUCCACCUGCUACUCUCUGGGAAAGAGCUAUCACUCAAACCAAGGUCUGACACUAACAGUCAGAAGCUAGACGCUGCGGCUGCUGAGCACUCUGCUGAACCAACAGUCUCUGGACCCAACCGGUUCCCUCUCUCAGAGAAGAAAGCCUGAACCUAGUCAAGACGCCUGAGAAUCCCUCCCGGACCUGUUUCCAGAAUCCAGUUCUUGUUUACUUGUACAAACCUUUUAAAUAAACUCUGUUUGAACUUUUAACCAGUCUCCAGUGGUGUU